CAAAGGCUUGGUCCUGACUUUACUAUCAACUUUAGCUAAACUUACACAUGCAAGUAUCCGCACCCCUGUGAGAAUGCCCUACAUUUCCCCACCCGGAAACAAGGAGCUGGUAUCAGGCACAUCCUAUUAAUUAAGCCCAAGACACCUUGCUAAGCCACACCCUCAAGGGAAUUCAGCAGUGAUAAACAUUAAGCCAUGAGCGAAAGCUCGACUUAGUUAAGGCUAAGAGGGUCGGUAAAACUCGUGCCAGCCACCGCGGUUAUACGAGAGACCCAAGUUGUUAAUUAUCGGCGUAAAGAGUGGUUAAGACGAACUAAUAAACUAAAGCCGAACACCUUCAAGGCUGUUAUACGCACCCGAAGGCAUGAAGACCAAUAACGAAAGUGGCUUUACAUUAUCUGAACCCACGAAAGCUACGGCACAAACUGGGAUUAGAUACCCCACUAUGCCUAGCCCUAAACAUUGACAGCGUACUACAUCUGCUGUCCGCCCGGGAACUACGAGCAUUAGCUUAAAACCCAAAGGACUUGGCGGUGCUUUAGAUCCACCUAGAGGAGCCUGUUCUAGAACCGAUAACCCCCGUUCAACCUCACCCUUUCUUGCUUAUCCCGCCUAUAUACCACCGUCGUCAGCUUACCCUGUGAAGGCACCAUAGUAAGCAAAAUUGGUACAACCCAAAACGUCAGGUCGAGGUGUAGCGUAUGAAAGGGGAAGAAAUGGGCUACAUUCACUAACACAGUGAAUACGGAUAAUAUACUGAAAUAUAUAUUUGAAGGAGGAUUUAGCAGUAAGCAGGAAAUAGAGUGUCCCGCUGAAAUUGGCCCUGAAGCGCGCACACACCGCCCGUCACUCUCCCCAAGCUCCUAGAUUUAAGUAACUAAAAGCCCAUAACUGCAAAGGGGAGGCAAGUCGUAACAUGGUAAGUGUACCGGAAGGUGCACUUGGAAAAAU
rnacentral:ncRNA from 1 species